rnacentral:misc_RNA from 1 species
GAUGAAGAACGUAGCGAAAUGUGAUAAGUAGUGUGAAUUGCAGAAUUCAGUGAAUCAUCGAAUCUUUGAACGCACAUUGCGCCCUUUGGUAUUCCUUAGGGCAUGCCUGUUCGAGCGUCAUUUAAACCUUCAAGCUCAGCUUGGUGUUGGGUGACUGUCCGCUUCACCGCGGACUCGCCUCAAAAUUAUUGGCGGCCGGUACAUUGGCUCUCGAGCGCAGCAGAAACGCGUAACUCGAGGUCCUCGUGCUGGCUCCCAGAAGCUAUCUUCACAAUUUUGACCUCGGAUCAGGUAGGGAUACCCGCUGAACUUAAGCAUAUCAAUAAGCGGAGGA